rnacentral:rRNA from 1 species
AACACGUGGGUAACCUGCCUUAUAGUGGGGGAGUAGCCUUUCGAAAGGAAGAUUAAUACCGCAUAAGAUUGUAGUAUCGCAUGAUAUAGCAAUUAAAGGAGCAAUUCGCUAUAAGAUGGACCCGCGUCGCAUUAGCUAGUUGGUGAGGUAAUGGCUCACCAAGGCGACGAUGCGUAGCCGACCUGAGAGGGUGAUCGGCCACAUUGGGACUGAGACACGGCCCAGACUCCUACGGGAGGCAGCAUG